rnacentral:lncRNA from 10 species
AAGAAACACAGAUUCCCAGGUCACCUCAUAGACAGGGCUGCACUGGGCCUCCUGCCUAGGCCUGUUCGAUGAAGCACCAACAAGCCCCACAGCUUUGUUGCUUUUGCUAUGCCCACUGGGACCAGUGAGAGAAGUGCGGUCUUAUCCCUGGGAGGAGAGAAAGAGCCAGCAUCUGCAGGCGCCCACAGGAUGUCAAGAAACUGUGCAAGAGAGGAAAGAACAUACAUUUGAGAGCCCAAAAGACCAGGGUUUAAGUCCUGGUUCCACCAAUUCCUUGCUGUUUUGGUCUUCGAACAGCCAUUGAACUUCAAGCCUCAGUUUCCUCGUGUGUUAAGUAAGAACAGUACCACCCACUUCACCAAAUCAUUGUGAAGAUCAAGUGAGAUCGCAGUCAUCAAUGUUUUUGUAAACUGUGGGCCAGGCAAA